rnacentral:rRNA from 2 species
UGAUUAGAAGCUUGCUUCUAUGACGUUAGCGGCGGACGGGUGAGUAACACGUGGGCAACCUGCCUGUAAGACUGGGAUAACUUCGGGAAACCGAAGCUAAUACCGGAUAGGAUCUUCUCCUUCAUGGGAGAUGAUUGAAAGAUGGUUUCGGCUAUCACUUACAGAUGGGCCCGCGGUGCAUUAGCUAGUUGGUGAGGUAACGGCUCACCAAGGCAACGAUGCAUAGCCGACCUGAGAGGGUGAUCGGCCACACUGGGACUGAGACACGGCCCAGACUCCUACGGGAGGCAGCAGUAGGGAAUCUUCCGCAAUGGACGAAAGUCUGACGGAGCAACGCCGCGUGAGUGAUGAAGGCUUUCGGGUCGUAAAACUCUGUUGUUAGGGAAGAACAAGUACGAGAGUAACUGCUCGUACCUUGACGGUACCUAACCAGAAAGCCACGGCUAACUACGUGCCAGCAGCCGCGGUAAUACGUAGGUGGCAAGCGUUAUCCGGAAUUAUUGGGCGUAAAGCGCGCGCAGGCGGUUUCUUAAGUCUGAUGUGAAAGCCCACGGCUCAACCGUGGAGGGUCAUUGGAAACUGGGGAACUUGAGUGCAGAAGAGAAAAGCGGAAUUCCACGUGUAGCGGUGAAAUGCGUAGAGAUGUGGAGGAACACCAGUGGCGA